rnacentral:rRNA from 1 species
UUGGAAAGACCCACCACAGAAGGUAAUAGUCCUGUAUGUUAAACGAGAAGACUUCAGAUAUGAUCCAGAGUACCACGGGACACGUGAAACCCUGUGGGAAGCAGGAGGGACCACCCUCCAAGGCUAAAUACUACCUAGUGACCGAUAGCGUAUAGUACCGUGAGGGAAAGGUGAAAAGAACCCCGGGAGGGGAGUGAAAUAGAACCUGAAACCCUGCACUUACAAGCUGUGGAAGCACAUUUCUUGUGUGACCGCGUACUUUUUGUAGAACGGGCCAACGAGUUACGUUAAGUAGCAAGGUUAAGCACUUAAGGUGCGGAGCCGUAGCGAAAGCGAGUUUUAACUGAGCGUUCAGUUACUUGACGUAGACCCGAAACCGGGCGACCUACCCAUGAGCAGGAUGAAGCGAAAGUAAAAUUUCGUGGAGGUCCGAACCCACGAGCGUUGAAAAGCUCGGGGAUGACUUGUGGGUAGCGGUGAAAUUCCAAUCGAGCCCGGAGAUAGCUGGUUCUCCCCGAAAUAGCUUUAGGGCUAGCCUCAAGGUGAGAGAUACGGAGGUAGAGCACUGAAUGUCCUAGGGGGUAUUGCACCUACCGAAGACUAUCAAACUCCGAAUGCCGUCAUCUUAUACUUGGGAGUCAGACUGUGGGUGAUAAGAUUCAUAGUCGAAAGGGCAACAGCCCAGAUCGUCAGCUAAGGUCCCUAAAUGUAAGUUAAGUGGUAAAGGAUGUGGGAUUGCACAGACAACCAGGAUGUUGGCUUAGAAGCAGCCACUCAUUCAAAGAGUGCGUAAUAGCUCACUGGUCGAGUGAUCCUGCGCCGAAGAUUUCCGGGGCUAAAACUUACUACCGAAGCUACGGCAUCAGUAAUGAUGGGUAGGGGAGCUUCCCAUACGGGUUGAAGCAUGACCGUAAGGACAUGUGGACAGUAUGGGAGUGAGAAUGUUGGCAUGAGUAGCGAGAUGUGGGUGAGAAUCCCACAGGCCGUAAACCCAAGGUUUCCAGGGGAAGGUUCGUCCGCCCUGGGUUAGUCGGGACCUAAGCUGAGGCCGAAAGGCGUAGGUGAUGGACAACAGGUUGAUAUUCCUGUACUACCGAUAACCGUUUGAGAGAAGGGAUGACACAGUAGGAUAAGCUAAGCACACUGUUGGUUAUGUGUGCCCAAGCAUUGAGGCAGUCAAAGUAGGCAAAUCCGCUUUGAUAAU